GACGAACGCUGGCGGCGUGCCUAACACAUGCAAGUCGAGCGGGGAGGAGGAAGCUUGCUUCCGAAUCCUAGCGGCGGACGGGUGAGUAACGCGUGAGCAACCUGCCUCUUACAGGGGGAUAACGCAUCGAAAGAUGUGCUAAUACCGCGUAAGACCACAGCAUCACAUGGUGCGGGGGUCAAAGGAGCAAUCCGGUAAGAGAUGGGCUCGCGUCCGAUUAGCUAGUUGGCGGGAUAACAGCCCACCAAGGCGACGAUCGGUAGCCGACCUGAGAGGGUGAUCGGCCACAUUGGAACUGAGAUACGGUCCAGACUCCUACGGGAGGCAGCAGUGGGGGAAUAUUGGGCAAUGGGCGAAAGCCUGACCCAGCAACGCCGCGUGAGGGAAGAAGGGUUUCGGCUCGUAAACCUCUGUCCUAUGGGACGAAGAAGUGACGGUACCAUAGGAGGAAAGCCCCGGGCUAACUACGUG
rnacentral:rRNA from 1 species